UGCAACCUCUCCUCCUGGGUCCUGCCUCAGCCUUCUGAGUAGCUGGGAUUACAGGCGCCUGCCACCACGCCCAGCUAAUUUUGUAUUUUUAGUAGGACGGGGUUUCUCCAUGUUGGUCAGGCUAGUCUCGAACUCCUGAUCUCAGGUGAUCUGCCUGCCUCAGCCUCCCAAAGUGCGGGUUCAGGCAAUCAUCCUGCACGUGGCUCCCAAAGUGCUGGGAUUACAGGCUUGAGUCACCGCGCUCAGCCU
rnacentral:lncRNA from 10 species